CCCAAAGGUUAUUUUUUGGUGAGUUUCAGCGCCUUGCAUGUUGAACCCAAAUUCAUUACACCAGCCUACGUCGAUGCGUAGGUUUUUUUU
rnacentral:sRNA from 2 species